AUCCAGCUGACGAGUCCCAAAUAGGACGAAACGUGCGCCCUGAAU
rfam:Schistosoma mansoni, Puerto Rico, WGS project CABG01000000 data, contig: 0105